rnacentral:rRNA from 1 species
CAGCAGCCACGGUAAUACGAACCGUGCGAACGUUAUUCGGAAUCACUGGGCUUAAGGCGCGUGUAGGCGGGAGGGCACGUCCGUCGCUGAAAUCCCCCGGCUCAACCGGGGAACGGGCGCGGAUACGACUCUUCUGGAGGAACGUAGGGGGACCUGGAACUUCCGGUGGAGCGGUGAAAUGCGUUGAGAUCGGAAGGAACGCCCGUGGCGAAAGCGAGGUCCUGGACGUUUACUGACGCUGAGACGCGAAAGCCAGGGGAGCGAACGGGAUUAGAUACCCCAGUAGUCCCUGUCUCUUAUA